rnacentral:rRNA from 1 species
AAGCAUAUCCAUAAGCGGAGGAAAAGAAACUACAAGGAUUCCCUAGUAACUGCGAGUGAAGCGGGAAAAGCUCAAAUUUAAAAUCUGGCAGUCUCUGGCUGUCCGAGUUGUAAUCUAGAGAAGUGUAUCCGCGCUGGACCGUGUACAAGUCUCCUGGAAUGGAGCGUCAUAGAGGGUGAGAAUCCCGUCUUUGACACGGACUGCCAGGGCUUUGUGAUGCGCUCUCAAAGAGUCGAGUUGUUUGGGAAUGCAGCUCAAAAUGGGUGGUAAAUUCCAUCUAAAGCUAAAUAUUGGCGAGAGACCGAUAGCGAACAAGUACCGUGAGGGAAAGAUGAAAAGAACUUUGGAAAGAGAGUUAAACAGUACGUGAAAUUGCUGAAAGGGAAACGCUUGAAGUCAGUCGCGUUGGUCAGGGAUCAACCUUGCUUUUGCUGGGUGUACUUCCUGGUUGACGGGUCAGCAUCAAUUUUGAUCAUUGGAAAAAGAUCAGGGGAAUGUGGCAUCCUUGGAUGUGUUAUAGCCCUUGGUUGUAUACAAUGGUUGGGAUUGAGGAACUCAGCACGCCGCAAGGCCGGGUUUUUACCACGUACGUGCUUAGGAUGCUGGCAUAAUGGCUUUAAUCGACCCGUCUUGAAACACGGACCAAGGAGUCUAACAUGCCUGCGAGUGUUUGGGUGGAAAACCCGAGCGCGCAAUGAAAGUGAAAGUUGAGAUCCCUGUCGUGGGGAGCAUCGACGCCCGGACCUGACCUUUUGUGACGGCUCCGCGGUAGAGCAUGUAUGUUGGGACCCGAAAGAUGGUGAACUAUGCCUGAAUAGGGUGAAGCCAGAGGAAACUCUGGUGGAGGCUCGUAGCGAUUCUGACGUGCAAAUCGAUCGUCAAAUUUGGGUAUAGGGGCGAAAGACUAAUCGAACC